AGCUUUGGAAUUUGAGAAUAUGUUAAGGUUUAGGUUUAGGAAUUCGGGUCAGGUUCAGGAUCGGGUUUAGGCUUGGGUUUUCAAGUUUAGGUUUAGGUUUAGGUUAGGGAGUUGAGAUUGGGAUUUGGUGUAGGUUUAAGUUUAGGGAUUUGAGAAUAGGUUAAGGUUUAGGUUUAGGAAAUCGGGUUUGGGUUCGGGAUCGUGUUUAGGCUUGGGUUUUCAAGUUUAGUUUUAGGUUUAGGUUAGGGAUUUGAGAUUGGGAUUUGGUGUAGGUUUAGGUUUAGGGAUUUGAGAAUAGGUUAAGGUUUAGGUUUAGGAAAUUGGGUUCGGGUUCAAGUUCGGGAUCGGGUUUAGGUUUAGGUUUAGGUUAGGAAGUUGAGAUUAGGAUUUGGUGUACGUUUAGGUUUAGGGAUUUGAGAAUUGGUUAAGGUUUAGAUUUAGGAAAUCGGGUUCGGGUUCGGGAUCGUGUUUAGGCUUGGGUUUUCAAGUUUAGUUUUAGGUUUAGGUUAGGGAGUUAAGAAUGGGAUUUGGUGUAGGUUUAGGUUUAGGGAUUUGAGAAUAGGUUAAGGUUUAGGUUUAGGAAAUCGGGUUCGAGUUCAGGUUCGGGAUCAGGAUCGAGUUUAGGCUUGGGUUUUCAAGUUUAAGUUUAGGUUUAGGUUAGGGAGUUGAGAUUGGGAUUUGGUGUAGGUUUAGGUUUAGGGAUUUGAGAAUAUGUUAAGGUUUAGGUUUAGGAAAUCGGG